CAGCCUUCUUCACCUUUGCUCAAUGCCUAGAUCGGUCUCCUUUUCCUUCUACAGUGGCGAACACCCGAUCAGCUGCAGGAGACCUCUCCAACAGAGCGGCGCCGUCUCUCUCUUGCAGAAUGGGCAGAGGCUUUGGGACGAAACGAAAUAAAUGCAUCGAAGUCGGCGAACAGACGCAGAUCAUCAUUACAUCACAAGAGGAGGAAGCAAUAACCGCAAAAAUGAAAGCAGACGGUGAGAAAACGCAGGACCGGUAGCAGACGAUGCGCGUCGAUCACAGUAUCGUCUGCUUUUGAUACGGCUUCACAGCGAGUGCGGCGAGCCCGGAGACUGCUGCAAGAAUGUAUUGAAGAAGUUGCUUCUGGAAAGGAAGUUCGAAAUGGAAUGGAACGCCGGCAUAUUUGUUGAAACGCAUACGCACACAAUCUGAUCAUUGUACGAAUGGACGAGCGGGUGAAAUUUUCUCCUUCCGCUGAUUUUAGGAAUGCACAAAAAACUGUGAAAUGACGAUUUGGACUGGUGGAUGUAAACUGAGGAUAACUGAAGUAAUUAGUGACCACGUUCGAAUCCUUAUGCACCACAGUUGCCCUCUUUCUGUGCGCCAUGGGUGCGGCCCCUUCACCGAGGAGUAUUCGAACACACACUCUUAGAUACGCUUGGGCACCAGCAGCGGAGGAUCACCUGGACAGCGCUAGCUAAAGCCUUGUGACAAGUGUAUACUACAACAAUUUACAAACUACAUUUUUGGCAGCUCGACGUAGAAUUCUUUGGCACAUCACCCAUUUUCAGCUUGCAGACGACAUGCAGAAGAGAGUGUCGUCUGCUUUGGAAUUAUCUGUUGAUGGGUGCGACACCAAGCGCGCGUAGCAGAAAGCGCGUAGCGCACAUGGCGAAGCUUGCCGUCUUCCGGAGUAUUCGGACUUCUGAUUCGGACGAGACAUCAGAUAGCGACACUUCCGAAGCGACACAACAUGCGAAGGCGCACCUCAUACCGACGUUUAUGAACGUUGCCUUAUACUAUUCGAACGUGCCCACUGAAUUAAUUACUUACACUGAAUUUUUUCCUGUCUGCAUUGCGUUCACGUCUAAUUCGUUCCAUUUAGCGCAUAACGCGUAUUCCUUCCAUUCGUGACCGUUGCUAGAAUAAGACGAACCUUACAAGUGCGAAAUGAACGAUUUGAUCGACUUUGUCGCCUGAUGGAGCUUGAUAUAAAACAGAUAUCUAAAGUGUCCUUUCAGAAUUAUGUACGAUAUAGCUCUCAAAUUACCCGAUUUGAUAAAAGAAAAAGGUUUGCCUGUCUUCCUUAAAUGCGUACAUCAUUCCCUUUGUUUGACUUUCCAGUUACUUUCCAGUUGUAUUUGUUCACAAUAAUUUUGCUUAUUAACGAGGACCAUGCCCCAAAAGGCUGCUGGAGAGUGCUCACCCGCUCGACCUAAACUGUGUCAGUGUUUAUUGUAUCUAAGACGUGCUUGCUUGUAGUAAAGUUGUCCCACAUCGCAA